GGAGGAAAUCCACAUACUCACAGCUGCCUCGGCCUCCAGGGUGGAUGUGGGCUCUGCCGGGGGCCUCUGUGCCUGUGUGGGAAACAAAUUUCUAACUGACCCGGCCACCUGGCCGGGCUUGCAGACAGCUGUGUCGUCCACUCCUGCAUGGGUUCCCCUGACAAGCUUACCUAGUCCCGUGGGCUUACCCAUGGGUGCUCUAUGGCGGGUAUCUCUGGAUGGGGUAUCCCACUCCAGCUGCUUUGGUGCCUUCGGUGUGGCUGUAUCGAAGGGGCCUCCAGCUUUGACCCCUUCAUGGGAAGUCAGUACCUGGCUGUCUUGGCUUCCAGCCUAUUUCCUCCCCCACCAACUACCCCCAACACCCCCACUGCAAGAUUCCCACUCAUCUACUUUUCAGCUCCUCCCAUUGUGGGCAAGGCUACCUCCAGCCACUGUCCCCAGGUGGGAUGCCAGACUCCAGCCAGGGCUGCAGUUGGUGGAGGAGCAUCCAGAGGAGCUCCCUACUUGAAGAAGUGCAAAGCCCCUCCCUCAGAAUGGACCUCCAGGUGCAGUAUCUGGGCGCCUUUGCCCGCUGCAGCUCAGAGCUCUGCCCCCUGCCCCUUCCCCACUGAGGAUUCUCAGCUGGACCCUGGCUGCCCCCGCUUCUCCUCCCUGUCACCCUGCAGGGCCUGCCACUGCCUCUUUGAGU
rnacentral:lncRNA from 1 species